GAGAGAGAGAGAUGUGAUGCUGUCACCUGACCGUCCUGCAGUCCUCCGCCAUGAGCCGUUUCAUAUUUCCACAUUGUGAAUCGGCAACUUGAAGUAAUUUUUGAAAUCUUUAACAUUUUUUUAGACACUGAAUGUAUUUGAUUGUGAUGUUCAGGUGAAUCUAAUGGCUGGUGUGGCGUAGUGAUGUUUUCAGUACAUUGUCUGAUUGAGAUCUCUGGCCGAGAGGAAGAUUAUCAGUGAAUACACUCUUCUGUUACAGUGUUUACAUCACACACAGCUUUCGGGAUCAUUAAGAAGAUUUGGAAUAUAGCACAUGGGUUUUAUGAAAUCCGUCAUGACAUUAUUCUUUACAGAUGUGUUCACUAUGAAGGGAUGAUGGAACAGAGAUGUGGGAAGAUUCUUCAAAAAAGUAAAACCACAAGACACGAACUGUGUUUAUUUCCCAUGGUGCACAUCUCUCAAUAUUCAAGAGCUGCUGUUCCAGCGCAGGAAUGAAUCUGUUUGUGUUCCUCUGAAGAAAGACCUCGCAGAUCAAUACACUUAUUAAAUCAACCUGCACAUCUGAGUCGGACUCGUGACCAGAAGGUUGCCGGUUCGAUUCCCAGUGCCGGCGGGUAACGACUGAGGUGCCCUUGAGCAAGGCACCUUACCCCUACUUGCUCCCCGGGCGCUGCAGUGAUAGCUGCCCACUGCUCCGGGUGAAGGUGUGUUCACGACUUGCUGUGCGUGUGUUCACUACUCUCUGGAUGGGUUAAAUGCAGAGGUCACAUUUCAGGUAUGGGUCACCAUAUCUGACUAAGGUCACUUUCACUUCACUUUCACUUAUAGAGAUAGAUAUAAAUAACUAGUUGCCUCAUUCAAGCGGUCCACUGACGUCACUCACAGUUUGCUAGAAAGCCACAACACUGCGCAAAAACCCCGGGGAUUUAAAUUCCAGAAAAAUGGGAUUCCCUUUCUGUCGGUCU